AGAGCGAACGCUGGCGGCAGGCCUAACACAUGCAAGUCGAACGGACCCUUCGGGGUUAGUGGCGGACGGGUGAGUAACACGUGGGAACGUGCCUUUUGGUUCGGAAUAGCUCCUGGAAACGGGUGGUAAUGCCGAAUGUGCCCUUCGGGGGAAAGAUUUAUCGCCAUUAGAGCGGCCCGCGUCUGAUUAGCUAGUUGGUGAGGUAAUGGCUCACCAAGGCGACGAUCAGUAGCUGGUCUGAGAGGAUGACCAGCCACAUUGGGACUGAGACACGGCCCAAACUCCUACGGGAGGCAGCAGUGGGGAAUCUUGCGCAAUGGGCGAAAGCCUGACGCAGCCAUGCCGCGUGAAUGAUGAAGUCUAGGAUUGUAAAUACUUCACGGUGAAGAUAAUGACUGUAGCCGGAGAAGAACGCCCGGCUAACCUCGCGCCAGCAGCCGAC
rnacentral:rRNA from 1 species